rnacentral:lncRNA from 1 species
AAUUGGCAAAUGCUUGAAGUGGGCAGAGCAUAAUGUUCCUCUAGGAAGUUUCAAUUAUCUUCAUGUUAAUGCCUUGCUGGAGGGAAAACCUAACAAUAAUGGCAAGGUCUCUAGUAUCUUUGAUAUCUUGUAGGUGCUCUUUAGCACCUGAAAGUUCUUUUUAAACAUCCCUCUUUCCUUACUUCCUCCAACCCCAUAGUGUAUCAUCAGCCACCCUGAACAAACUCUGUGCAGCCACUCUUUCUGCCCACAGGUCCUGUCCCUGGGCUUUAAUAAACCAUCAUUUUGCAUCAAAGAUGUCACAAAACUUCUUGGUCCUUGACUCUGACUCCAACUCACUGAACUUCAUCUGUAUUCCAAAACCACAUCAUCGGGGACAACUAUUACCUUCUUAUUCUGUGUCCUGAGAAUUUGCCUUGUCUACCAUCAGGUUGGAGGCACCCAAAGUAUGGCCAGAAAUAUGGACUUCACUCCAUUUGCAGCUAAAGUCCUACCAUCAUAGCCAGCUCUCAGGGAAAUUAUGUCUUCUAUUUGUGGAGAGUCCCAUGGAGGUCCUGUGCUGCUUUCCCACUGCCAGGUUUGUGUCACUCCUUUCAUGGGCUCUUGCCAAGAACGUAUCAGAGGGUGUGGAUCCACUUUGCUGUGGCCUCUUGUCUACAUUGGGCUAUGGAGAGUCUGUUCUGCCACUCUUCUAAUCAUUUUCUGGGGUUAUAUAUGCCAAUGUGAGUGUUCUCUAGGUGGUCAUGUGGUAAGAGGUGAUCCCAGGGUCCUCCUACUCUGCCAUCUUCUCAGCAGUCUCUCAAAAAAUAAAUUCUAAAUUAAGUCUUUUUGACCUCAAACUAACUAUGGGAUUUUCUAGAGGCUGCCUUGGAACAUCUCAAAAGAUUUGUUCUCUCUCCUUAUAAAAAGAGAUUAAAUUAAUUAGACUUAUUUCAUAUGUUAAAUUAUAUUGAAAGUAUUGUCAAAUGAGAAGUGAUAUUUAGCUUUCUUAGGUUAUAUUUGUAUAUGUUUUAAUACAAAUGUUCCAGAAAGUGUAAAGAAUUCUUAAAAAUCUGUCAUGGUAUAAUGCUAUCAGUUAUAAUUCCAGUUAUCAUCUUAAAAUGUUAAAUAAAAUUUCUGUGUCAAUUGCAUUAUAAUAAACUCUCAUGAUAUCUUUAACCAUGGCCAUUUUAAAAUCUUUUACAAUU